GAUGAACGCUGGCGGCGCGCCUAAUACAUGCAAGUCGAACGGACAGGCCUGCUUUCCCUUGUGGAUUGCGGGUACUCGAGUGGCGAACGGGUGAGUAACACGUGAGUAAUCUGCCCCCAACUUGGGUAUAAGCCUGGGAAACUGGGUCGAAUACUCGAUAGGACUGCAGGGUGCUGCCUGUGGUGGAAAACGUUCUUCUAGUGGUUGGGGAUGAGCCGGCGGCGUAUCUGCUUGUUGGUGGGGCAAUGGCCUACCAAGGCGGCGAGGGGUAGCCAGACUGGGAGCGUGGACGGCCACAUUGAGACUGGGACACGGCCCAGACUGCUGGGGGCGGCAGCGGUGGUGAAUAUUGCACCGUGGGCGUAAGCGUGAUGCGGCGACGCAGCGUGGAAGAUGUCCGGCUUCGGGUUGUAAGCUCCUUUCGACCGCGAAGAAGCUACCUGGCUGGGAGCGUGGUGACGGUAGUUGUAGAAGAAGCACCGGCUAACUACGUG
rnacentral:rRNA from 1 species